AUUGAACGCUGGCGGCAGGCUUAACACAUGCAAGUCGAGCGGAGUGAUGGUGCUUGCACUAUCACUUAGCGGCGGACGGGUGAGUAAUGCUUAGGAAUCUGCCAUUUAGUGGGGGACAACAUUCCGAAAGGAAUGCUAAUACCGCAUACGCCCUACGGGAGAAAGCAGGGGAUCUUCGGACCUUGCGCUAAAUGAUGAGCCUAAGUCGGAUUAGCUAGUUGGUGGGGUAAAGGCCUACCAAGGCGACGAUCUGUAGCGGGUCUGAGAGGAUGAUCCGCCACACUGGGACUGAGACACGGCCCAGACUCCUACGGGAGGCAGCAGUGGGGAAUAUUGGACAAUGGGCGGAAGCCUGAUCCAGCCAUGCCACGUGUGUGAAGAAGGCCUUUUGGUUGUAAAGCACUUUAAGCGAGGAGGAGGCUACUAGUACUAAUACUACUGGAUAGUGGACGUUACUCGCAGAAUAAGCACCGGCUAACUCUGUGCCAGCCGCCGCCGUAAAAC
rnacentral:rRNA from 1 species